rnacentral:rRNA from 1 species
CCCUUAGAUGUUCUGGGCCGCACGCGCGCUACACUGACGAAGUCAGCGAGCAUGUCCUACGCCGACAGGUGCGGGGAAUCUUGUCAAACUUCGUCGUGAUGGGGAUUGAUUAUUGAAAUUCUUGAUCAUCAACGAGGAAUUCCUAGUAAGCGCAAGUCAGCAGCUUGCGUUGAUUACGUCCCUGCCCUUUGUACACACCGCCCGUCGCUACUACCGAUUGAUUGAUCCGGUGAAUUACAUAGAAUUUUGCGUUUUACAUGACGGAAGACGAAGUGUUUUAAACCUUAUCAUUUAGAGGAAGGAGAAGUCGUAACA